GAUGAACGCUGGCGGCGUGCCUAAUACAUGCAAGUCGAGCGAACAGACGAGGAGCUUGCUCCUCUGACGUUAGCGGCGGACGGGUGAGUAACACGUGGAUAACCUACCUAUAAGACUGGGAUAACUUCGGGAAACCGGAGCUAAUACCGGAUAAUAUAUUGAACCGCAUGGUUCAAUAGUGAAAGACGGUUUUGCUGUCACUUAUAGAUGGAUCCGCGCCGCAUUAGCUAGUUGGUAAGGUAACGGCUUACCAAGGCAACGAUGCGUAGCCGACCUGAGAGGGUGAUCGGCCACACUGGAACUGAGACACGGUCCAGACUCCUACGGGAGGCAGCAGUAGGGAAUCUUGCGCAAUGGGCGAAAGCCUGACGGAGCAACGCCGCGUGAGUGAUGAAGGUCUUCGGAUCGUAAAACUCUGUUAUUAGGGAAGAACAAAUGUGUAAGUAACUAUGCACGUCUUGACGGUACCUAAUCAGAAAGCCCCGGCUAACUACGUG
rnacentral:rRNA from 1 species